CGAGUUAUCUGAACCUUCGGGGAACGAUAACGGCGUCGAGCGGCGGACGGGUGAGUAAUGCCUAGGAAAUUGCCUUGAUGUGGGGGAUAACCAUUGGAAACGAUGGCUAAUACCGCAUAAUGCCUACGGGCCAAAGAGGGGGACCUUCGGGCCUCUCGCGUCAAGAUAUGCCUAGGUGGGAUUAGCUAGUUGGUGAGGUAAUGGCUCACCAAGGCGACGAUCCCUAGCUGGUCUGAGAGGAUGAUCAGCCACACUGGAACUGAGACACGGUCCAGACUCCUACGGGAGGCAGCAGUGGGGAAUAUUGCACAAUGGGCGCAAGCCUGAUGCAGCCAUGCCGCGUGUAUGAAGAAGGCCUUCGGGUUGUAAAGUACUUUCAGUCGUGAGGAAGGUUCAUGCGUUAAUAGCGUAUGGAUUUGACGUUAGCGACAGAAGAAGCACCGGCUAACUCCGUGCCAGCAGCCGCGGUAAUACGGAGGGUGCGAGCGUUAAUCGGAAUUACUGGGCGUAAAGCGCAUGCAGGUGGUUUGUUAAGUCAGAUGUGAAAGCCCGGGGCUCAACCUCGGAACUGCAUUUGAAACUGGCAAACUAGAGUACUGUAGAGGGGGGUAGAAUUUCAGGUGUAGCGGUGAAAUGCGUAGAGAUCUGAAGGAAUACCAGUGGCGAAGGCGGCCCCCUGGACAGAUACUGACACUCAGAUGCGAAAGCGUGGGGAGCAAACAGGAUUAGAUACCCUGGUAGUCCACGCCGUAAACGAUGUCUACUUGGAGGUUGUGGCCUUGAGCCGUGGCUUUCGGAGCUAACGCGUUAAGUAGACCGCCUGGGGAGUACGGUCGCAAGAUUAAAACUCAAAUGAAUUGACGGGGGCCCGCACAAGCGGUGGAGCAUGUGGUUUAAUUCGAUGCAACGCGAAGAACCUUACCUACUCUUGACAUCCAGAGAACUUAGCAGAGAUGCUUUGGUGCCUUCGGGAACUCUGAGACAGGUGCUGCAUGGCUGUCGUCA
rnacentral:rRNA from 1 species